AGGGACGUAACAGAGAGAGAGAUCGAAGAGGAAGAAGAAGAAGAAGAGUAGAAUAGGGAAGUCAAUUCCUAUCAAUAAAUGACAAGCUUAUGACUAUGCAAAUCCCUGUCAGUUCCAAAAUUGAACUAAUGGUAAGAUUUUUCAUCAGUGGAUUAAAUCCUUACCAUAUUGUCUGUUACAUUUGUUUAUUUGGAUUAACCAUAUAAUUUUUGAAGACCCUUUUCAAAGUUUAGUAGGAUCAUUCGCUAUUUCAGCUACUGAAAUGCAACAUCAGAGUUUCAAAAUAUGUGUCUUGCAGUUACAGCAGCUAAAGUGGAAGUGGGCUGGUUUGAUGACAUAAAAACUGCAGCGUUUGAAAUGAAUCAAACUAUAAAAGCAUCUGCUAAGAUCAGGAUUUUCAUCCUUUUUUCCUCUGAGCCUCACGGUUGCAAAAUCAGAAACCCCAAAGAAGGAGAGGCGUUUGAUUGAAGAAAAGCACUAAAUAUAUAUUGGUUUGAAAAAUCGUUUGGUGUAAGACAUUAUUUUUAUUUCUUUGAAUUGAUAUGAUAUGUAGCUAAAUGGAAAUUUUCCAAUGAUAAUAAUAAUAAUAAUGAUAAUUAACAUUAUAAUAAUUAUGUCGGUGGUUUUUGUAUAGGCUUCCAAAUAGUAAUUUUGUGGAUAUUAAUAUAUGGGACAUUGACAGCUAUAAAAGUGAGAUGAGUGUAUUAGUGUGUCUGACAGAGAGAUUUGGAUGGGUUACGUGUGUG
rnacentral:misc_RNA from 1 species